rnacentral:rRNA from 1 species
CCUACGGGGGGCUGCAGUCGAGAAUCAUUCACAAUGGGGGAAACCCUGAUGGUGCGACGCCGCGUGGGGGAAUGAAGGUCUUCGGAUUGUAAACCCCUGUCAUGUGGGAGCAAAUUAAAAAGAUAGUACCACAAGAGGAAGAGCCGGCUAACUCUGUGCCAGCAGCCGCGGUAAUACAGAGGUCUCAAGCGUUGUUCGGAAUCACUGGGCGUAAAGCGUGCGUAGGCUGUUUCGUAAGUCGUGUGUGAAAGGCGCGGGCUCAACCCGCGGACGGCACAUGAUACUGCGAGACUAGAGUAAGGGAGGGGGAACCGGAAUUCUCGGUGUAGCAGUGAAAUGCGUAGAUAUCGAGAGGAACACUCGUGGCGAAGGCGGGUUCCUGGACAUUAACUGACGCUGAGGCACGAAGGCCAGGGGAGCGAAAGGGAUUAGAUACCCGUGUAGUC